UACGAAGGGGGCUAGCGUUGCUCGGAAUCACUGGGCGUAAAGGGUGCGUAGGCGGGUCUUAAGUCAGGGGUGAAAUCCUGGAGCUCAACUCCAGAACUGCCUUUGAUACUGAAGAUCUUGAGUUCGGGAGAGGUGAGUGGAACUGCGAGUGUAGAGGUGAAAAUUCGUAGAUAUUCGCAAGAACACCAGUGGCGAAGGCGGCUCACUGGCCCGAUACUGACGCUGAGGCACGAAAGCGUGGGGAGCAAACAGGGA
rnacentral:rRNA from 1 species